CCCUUAGAUGUUCUGGGCCGCACGCGCGCUACACUGUCGGAUUCAGCGAGUCUUAACCUUAACCGAAAGGUUUGGGUAAUCUUUUGAAAGUCCGACGUGAUGGGGAUUGAUCAUUGCAAUUAUUGAUCAUGAACGAGGAAUUCCUAGUAAGCGCGAGUCAUCAGCUCGCGUUGAUUACGUCCCUGCCCUUUGUACACACCGCCCGUCGCUACUACCGAUUGAAUGGUUUAGUGAGGACUCCUGAUUGGCGCCGCCGCCCCGGCAACGGAGCAGCGGACUGCCGAAAAGUUGUUCAAACUUGAUCAUUUAGAGGAAGUAAAAGUCGUAACA
rnacentral:rRNA from 1 species